CCUACGGACGGCAGCAGUGAGGAAUAUUGGUCAAUGGUCGAGAGACUGAACCAGCCAAGCCGCGUGAGGGAGGAAGGUACAGAGUAUCGUAAACCUCUUUUGUCAGGGAACAAAGGCGGGGACGUGUCCCCGGAUGAGUGUACCUGAAGAAAAAGCAUCGGCUAACUCCGUGCCAGCAGCCGCGGUAAUACGGAGGAUGCGAGCGUUAUCCGGAUUUAUUGGGUUUAAAGGGUGCGCAGGCGGUCUGUUAAGUCAGCGGUCAAAGCCCGGGGCUCAACCCCGGCCCGCCGUUGAAACUGGCAGUCUCGAGUUGGAUAGAAGUAUGCGGAAUGCGCGGUGUAGCGGUGAAAGGCAUAGAUAUCGCGCAGAACUCCGAUUGCGAAGGCAGCAUGCCGGCUCCACACUGACGCUGAGGCACGAAAGCGUGGGUAUCGAACAGGAUUAGAUACCCGGGUAGUC
rnacentral:rRNA from 1 species